CUCCCUCCUCCUUUUUCCUCUCUCUCUUUCUCUCUCUCUCUCUCUCUCUCUCUCUCUCUCUCUCUCUCUCACACACACACACACACACACACACACACACAUACACACACACACACACACACAUUCUCAUUCCCCUCUCGUGGUGGCAGCCGAUUGCCGGGCGUUCCCAAUCUCCCUCCCCCACCCCUUCAGCCACUUCUUAAAGGAGCAGGCCUGCAAUCUCCGAAGGCGGGAGAAUGGGGAAAAACUAAAUGUGCCUGUGGUGUGUGUGCGUGCAUGAGCAUGUGCGUGGGUGCGUGUGUGCCCAUGCUGGAGCAUGUGUGUGCCUGUGUAUAUGUGUUGACUGUGUAACUGUGUCAGAAGGCCUGUGUCUGAGCGGGUUGUUAUUUCUGUUUCUGUCUCCACCUAUGUGUCACCAUUAUGCUGCAUGUGUCUGGAUAUUUACCUAUGCGGGCCUGUCUGGCCCUGAGGGAGUCCCCUUUCUGAAGCCGUGGUGCUUGGACGACCAGCUCUCCACGUUGCCGGGCACCUGUAGGUGUCCCUCGAGAGCAGUUUUGAGGUUCAAGUCAGUGUGGCCAUGAAGGGGCUGCCUAUUGGGCUGAUGCUGUGACCCUGGAGUCUGCCUCUCCUGCCAGUCCCCCUGCCCGGAACAUGUGGCUGCGGCUUGGCCUGCCCUCGCUGCCCCUGAGCCCCACGCCCGCAGUUGGCCGGAGCCUGUGCCUCACUCUGUGGUUCCUCAGUUUGGUGCUGAGGGCCAGUACCCAGGCCCCAGCACCCACAGUCAAUACUCACUUUGGGAAGCUAAGGGGUGCCCGGGUGCCAUUGCCCAGUGAGAUCCUGGGGCCUGUGGACCAAUACCUGGGGGUGCCCUACGCAGCUCCCCCAAUCGGCGAGAAACGUUUCCUGCCCCCUGAACCACCCCCGUCCUGGUCGGGCAUCCGGAACGCCACACACUUUCCCCCAGUGUGCCCCCAGAACAUCCAUACAGCUGUGCCUGAAGUCAUGCUGCCCGUCUGGUUCACUGCCAACUUGGAUAUCGUCGCUACUUACAUCCAGGAGCCCAACGAAGACUGCCUAUAUCUGAACGUCUAUGUGCCCACGGAGGAUGGAUCCGGCGCUAAGAAACAGGGCGAGGACUUAGCGGAUAAUGACGGGGAUGAAGAUGAAGAUAUUCGGGACAGUGGUGCUAAGCCCGUCAUGGUCUACAUCCACGGAGGCUCUUACAUGGAAGGGACUGGCAACAUGAUUGAUGGCAGCGUCCUUGCCAGUUAUGGCAACGUCAUCGUCAUCACCCUCAACUAUCGAGUUGGGGUACUAGGUUUCCUGAGCACUGGAGAUCAGGCUGCCAAGGGCAACUAUGGGCUCCUUGACCAAAUCCAGGCCCUCCGCUGGGUGAGCGAGAAUAUUGCUUUCUUUGGAGGAGAUCCCCGCCGUAUUACCGUCUUUGGCUCGGGCAUCGGUGCAUCCUGUGUCAGCCUCCUCACACUGUCACAUCACUCUGAGGGGCUUUUCCAGAGGGCCAUCAUCCAAAGUGGCUCUGCUCUGUCCAGCUGGGCUGUGAACUACCAACCAGUGAAGUAUACCAGCCUGCUGGCAGACAAAGUGGGUUGUAAUGUACUGGACACUGUGGAUAUGGUGGACUGUCUUCGGCAAAAGAGCGCCAAGGAACUGGUAGAGCAGGACAUCCAGCCCGCCCGCUACCACGUGGCCUUUGGCCCUGUAAUUGAUGGUGAUGUCAUUCCUGAUGACCCUGAAAUCCUCAUGGAACAGGGCGAGUUCCUCAACUAUGACAUCAUGCUAGGUGUCAACCAGGGUGAGGGUCUCAAGUUUGUAGAAGGGGUGGUAGACCCUGAGGAUGGUGUCUCUGGCACUGACUUUGACUAUUCUGUCUCCAACUUUGUGGACAAUCUGUAUGGUUACCCUGAGGGUAAGGACACCCUGCGGGAGACCAUCAAGUUCAUGUACACAGACUGGGCAGACCGUGACAACCCUGAGACCCGUCGUAAAACACUGGUGGCACUCUUCACUGACCACCAGUGGGUGGAGCCCUCUGUGGUGACAGCUGAUCUGCAUGCCCGAUAUGGCUCACCUACCUAUUUCUACGCCUUCUACCAUCACUGCCAGAGCCUCAUGAAGCCUGCUUGGUCAGAUGCAGCACAUGGGGAUGAAGUACCCUACGUUUUUGGUGUCCCUAUGGUAGGCCCCACUGACCUUUUCCCCUGCAACUUCUCCAAGAAUGACGUUAUGCUCAGUGCUGUCGUCAUGACCUAUUGGACCAACUUUGCCAAGACUGGGGAUCCCAACAAGCCGGUCCCCCAGGACACCAAGUUCAUUCACACCAAGGCCAACCGAUUUGAGGAAGUGGCCUGGUCCAAAUACAAUCCCCGAGACCAGCUCUACCUUCACAUCGGGCUGAAACCAAGGGUCCGUGAUCAUUACCGAGCCACUAAGGUUGCCUUUUGGAAACACCUGGUGCCCCACCUGUACAACCUGCAUGACAUGUUCCACUAUACAUCCACAACCACCAAAGUGCCGCCCCCGGAUACCACCCACAGCUCCCACAUCACCCGCAGGCCCAACGGCAAGACCUGGAGCACCAAGCGGCCAGCCAUCUCUCCUGCCUACAGCAAUGAGAACGCCCAAGGGUCCUGGAACGGGGACCAGGAUGCCGGGCCUCUCCUGGUGGAGAACCCUCGAGACUACUCCACUGAAUUAAGUGUGACCAUCGCUGUGGGGGCCUCCCUCCUGUUCCUCAAUGUUUUGGCUUUUGCUGCCCUCUACUACCGGAAGGACAAACGGCGCCAGGAGCCUCUGAGGCAGCCUAGCCCCCAGAGGGGAGCUGGAGCCCCUGAAUUGGGAGCUGCUCCUGAGGAGGAGCUGGCAGCAUUACAGCUUGGACCCACUCACCAUGAGUGUGAGGCUGGUCCCCCCCAUGACACACUGCGCCUCACUGCAUUGCCCGACUAUACCCUGACCCUGCGGCGCUCCCCCGAUGACAUCCCACUCAUGACCCCCAACACCAUCACUAUGAUUCCCAACUCCCUGGUAGGGCUGCAGACAUUGCACCCCUAUAACACCUUUGCUGCAGGGUUUAACAGUACCGGGCUGCCCCACUCACAUUCCACUACCCGGGUAUAGCUCCAACCCAGAGCACAGCUCAUCUCCCAGCUCCCUCCCUUCCAGAUCCACAAACACAUGCACAUACACACACACACACAUAUAUACAUAUGUAUACGCACGCACCCACACCCUACAGCAGACCCAUCUGCACAAACAUAGACAGAUGUGGACAUGCACCCGCAUGUACAAAAACACAAAUACUGAAGUAAACCUGGACAAACCCUGCAAAUGGGGACACAAAUGAGUCCUUGGUAAACCAAGGAUCCAUGAAACAGCAGCUGAAGCCAGCUCCCUGAGCCUGACCACAGACACUCCUGGGGGGCCUGAAAGCAACAGCUGGACACCCCCUUGGUGCUCGCCUUUGGCCUCUCUUGGAACUGCACCAACGACCAACUCCAGACUUGGGAGCUUUAAAGAGCAGAGUAGCUCUUCCUCCCCCAGACUUGGUCUUUUUUCUGGGUCUUGUUUUUGUUGAUUUUUUUUAAAUUUUUGGAACAAAUGCUUUUCCAACCCAUGAGUGCUAAGAGGCUCUGGAAGGGAGGGUUCCAGGCUCAGCUCUUUCUGGUUUUGGAACCCCCCGUGCUCACACAAUCAGACCAAGGAACAGGACUCCCAAGAAAGAAACAGAUUUGAGCACAACCAUGGGGUGAAUGGAGGAAGGGGCUAAUGAUGGAUGGGGCUGGAGGGCCAUUGAAGAGAGAUCUCCAACAUUUUCUGUGUCCCUGUGGAGGGAUGCAGAUCCCCUGAAGGCAAACAGCAUUGACCUGGCUAGACCAGGGGACCCUAGGUUUGACAAACAAGGUACUGUGGAGGCCAUGUCAUUAUUACCCCCUCCCCACCCCACCCCCCAGGUAUAUAAUCUGGGUUCUGCCUCUGCCCUUGGGGAAAUGCUAUCAGAAAUUCACCCCAUUUUCUUUACAGUCUUUUGUGUCUGUCAUUUCUCUUUCAAAAAGGCGGUGUUUUUUGUUGUUGUUGGCUUUUUUUUUUUUUAAAGAAAAGUUCUUAAAACACUAACGGAAACCCAUGGAGUUUGUCCUUUGUAAAAAUUUUAAACACAGUGUCUUGAUAUAAAAAUAAAAAAUCCAGUUAGCACUCCCAA